UCGGGAAUUUUGGGCAAUGGGCGAAAGCCUGACCCAGCAACGCCGCGUGAAGGAUGAAGUUUUUCGGAAUGUAAACUUCACAAGAGUGGGAAGAAUAAGUGGGGGAUAAUACCCCCCACGAUGACGGUACCAUUUGUAAGCUCCGGCUAACUCCGUGCCAGCAGCCGCGGUAAUACGGGGGGAGCAAGCGUUGUUCGGAUUUACUGGGCGUAAAGGGCGCGUAGGCGGCGCAACAAGUCACUUGUGAAAUCUCCGGGCUUAACCCGGAGCGGCCAAGUGAUACUGUCGUGCUAGAGUGCGGAAGGGGCAACUGGAAUUCUCGGUGUAGCGGUGAAAUGCGUAGAUAUCGAGAGGAACACCCGCGGCGAAGGCGGGUUGCUGGGCCGACACUGACGCUGAGGCGCGAAAGCCAGGGGAGCGAA
rnacentral:rRNA from 1 species